rnacentral:sRNA from 1 species
GUCAGCACCCCGCACUCUCUGUGACGGGGCUAUGCGCGGAGCGCAGGCUUCGCGAAGUAAUGCCUCUAACUUUAGUUAGUUCGUACCCGCCUAAGUCUUAACUGACUACGUUUUUUGAGUCAAGACACCCUGUUGGAUGCGUAGCUAGUCCCUGGCUCUGUC